GACGAACGCUGGCGGCGUGCUUAACACAUGCAAGUCGAACGGAAAGGCCCUGCUUUUGUGGGGUGCUCGAGUGGCGAACGGGUGAGUAACACGUGAGUAACCUGCCCUUGACUUUGGGAUAACUUCAGGAAACUGGGGCUAAUAUCGGAUAGGAGCUCCUGCUGCAUGGUGGGGGUUGGAAAGUUUCGGCGGUUGGGGAUGGACUCGCGGCUUAUCAGCUUGUUGGUGGGGUAGUGGCUUACCAAGGCUUUGACGGGUAGCCGGCCUGAGAGGGUGACCGGCCACAUUGGGACUGAGUUACGGCCCAGACUCCUACGGGAGGCAGCAGUGGGGAAUAUUGCACAAUGGGCGGAAGCCUGAUGCAGCAACGCCGCGUGCGGGAUGACGGCCUUCGGGUUGUAAACCGCUUUCGCCUGUGACGAAGCGUGAGUGACGGUAAUGGGUAAAGAAGCACCGGCUAACUACGUG
rnacentral:rRNA from 1 species